GAUGAACGCUGGCGGCGUGCCUAAUACAUGCAAGUCGAGCGAACGGACGAGAAGCUUGCUUCUCUGAUGUUAGCGGCGGACGGGUGAGUAACACGUGGAUAACCUACCUAUAAGACUGGGAUAACUUCGGGAAACCGGAUCUAAUACCGGAUGAUAUUUUGAACCGCAUGGUUCAAAAGUGAAAGACGGUCUUGCUGUCACUUAUAGAUGGAUCCGCGCUGCAUUAGCUAGUUGGUAAGGUAACGGCUUACCAAGGCAACGAUGCAUAGCCGACCUGAGUGGGUGAUCGGCCACACUGGAACUGAGACACGGUCCAGACUCCUACGGGAGGCAGCAGUAGGGAAUCUUCCGCAAUGGGCGAAAGCCUGACGGAGCAACGCCGCGUGAGUGAUGAAGGUCUUCGGAUCGUAAAACUCUGUUAUUAGGGAAGAACAUAUGUGUAAGUAACUGUGCACAUCUUGACGGUACCUAAUCAGAAAGCCACGGCUAACUACGUG
rnacentral:rRNA from 1 species